rnacentral:rRNA from 1 species
UCUGAUGUUAGCGGCGGACGGGUGAGUAACACGUGGAUAACCUACCUAUAAGACUGGGAUAACUUCGGGAAACCGGAGCUAAUACCGGAUAAUAUUUUGAACCGCAUGGUUCAAAAGUGAAAGACGGUCUUGCUGUCACUUAUAGAUGGAUCCGCGCUGCAUUAGCUAGUUGGUAAGGUAACGGCUUACCAAGGCAACGAUGCAUAGCCGACCUGAGAGGGUGAUCGGCCACACUGGAACUGAGACACGGUCCAGACUCCUACGGGAGGCAGCAGUAGGGAAUCUUCCGCAAUGGGCGAAAGCCUGACGGAGCAACGCCGCGUGAGUGAUGAAGGUCUUCGGAUCGUAAAACUCUGUUAUUAGGGAAGAACAUAUGUGUAAGUAACUGUGCACAUCUUGACGGUACCUAAUCAGAAAGCCACGGCUAACUACGUGCCAGCAGCCGCGGUAAUACGUAGGUGGCAAGCGUUAUCCGGAAUUAUUGGGCGUAAAGCGCGCGUAGGCGGUUUUUUAAGUCUGAUGUGAAAGCCCACGGCUCAACCGUGGAGGGUCAUUGGAAACUGGAAAACUUGAGUGCAGAAGAGGAAAGUGGAAUUCCAUGUGUAGCGGUGAAAUGCGCAGAGAUAUGGAGGAACACCAGUGGCGAAGGCGACUUUCUGGUCUGUAACUGACGCUGAUGUGCGAAAGCGUGGGGAUCAAACAGGAUUAGAUACCCUGGUAGUCCACGCCGUAAACGAUGAGUGCUAAGUGUUAGGGGGUUUCCGCCCCUUAGUGCUGCAGCUAACGCAUUAAGCACUCCGCCUGGGGAGUACGACCGCAAGGUUGAAACUCAAAGGAAUUGACGGGGACCCGCACAAGCGGUGGAGCAUGUGGUUUAAUUCGAAGCAACGCGAAGAACCUUACCAAAUCUUGACAUCCUUUGACAACUCUAGAGAUAGAGCCUUCCCCUUCGGGGGACAAAGUGACAGGUGGUGCAUGGUUGUCGUCAGCUCGUGUCGUGAGAUGUUGGGUUAAGUCCCGCAACGAGCGCAACCCUUAAGCUUAGUUGCCAUCAUUAAGUUGGGCACUCUAAGUUGACUGCCGGUGACAAACCGGAGGAAGGUGGGGAUGACGUCAAAUCAUCAUGCCCCUUAUGAUUUGGGCUACACACGUGCUACAAUGGACAAUACAAAGGGCAGCGAAACCGCGAGGUCAAGCAAAUCCCAUAAAGUUGUUCUCAGUUCGGAUUGUAGUCUGCAACUCGACUACAUGAAGCUGGAAUCGCUAGUAAUCGUAGAUCAGCAUGCUACGGUGAAUACGUUCCCGGGUCUUGUACACACCGCCCGUCACACCACGAGAGUUUGUAACACCCGAAGCCGGUGGAGUAACCUUUUAGGAGCUAGCCGUCGAAGGUGGGACAAAUGAUUGGGGUGAAGUCGUAACAAGGUAGCCGUAUCGGAAGGUGCGGCUGGAUCACCUCCUUUCUA